CGCCGGUGAACGCGACGCCGACGCGUGGCUCCCAACGAAGCGUUUUGCGGAAGAUGUGCUUUUCGAUUCGCCCUGCGUCACAAAUAGCCCCAAAGUCCAGAAACGGUAUCCGCCAAAGCCCAGCGCUGCAAACACCAGCAGAAAGAGCAGCAGGACCACCGUGGCGAGCGUGGGGAUGCCACCGUCCAGCCUUCGACGCCUCUGGUGCCGGUUGGGCAGCUGACCAGGAUGCUGCUGCUGAACUCCAUCCACCAAGAACACGGGAUGGCUCUGGUCACAGUUCAUGGCGCCGCUCCGAAUGCGAGACGUAGGAUAAUGUGCAAGUUGGGAUUGCUGAAAGGGGAAACAUGCAACAUGACAGCCAUUCUUGCCGUGAAAAUAUCACCAAAAAAAGAGAAAAUGGGAACGUGCUUGGUGUGCAACUCAAACAGGAGACACGACUGUAACUUCAUCCGUCACCUUAAACCCCGCAGACAGGUAAGCUAUGCUAAC